CCUACGGGUGGCAGCAGUGGGGAAUAUUGCACAAUGGGGGAAACCCUGAUGCAGCGACGCCGCGUGAGUGAAGAAGUAUCUCGGUACGUAAAGCUCUAUCAGCAGGAAAGAAAAUGACGGUACCUGUCUAAGAAGCACCGGCUAACAACGAGCCAGCAGCCGCGGUAAUACGGAGGGGGCAAGUGUUAUCCGGAUUUACGGGGUGUAAAGGGAGCGUAGGCGGCGCUGCAAGUCCGGAGUGAAAGCCCAUGGUUUAACCCGGGUACUGCUCUUGAAACUGUAGGGCUUGAGUGCGGGAGGGGCAGGCGGAAUUCCUGGUGUAGCGGUGAAAUGCGUAGAUAUUAGGAGGAACACCGGUGGCGAAGGCGGCCUGCUGGACCGAAACUGACGCUGAGGCUCGAAAGCGUGGGGAGCAAACAGGAUUAGAUACCCCAGUAGUC
rnacentral:rRNA from 1 species